GCUGGGCAUGGUGGUGUGUGCCUGUAGUCCCAGCUCCUUGGGAGGCUGAGGUGGAAGGAUCACUUGAGCCCAGGGGGUCAGGGCUGCAGUGAGCCAAGAUCAUGCCAAUGCACUCCAGCCUAGGUUACAGAGAGAGACUCUGUCUCAA
rfam:Nomascus leucogenys chromosome 2, whole genome shotgun sequence.